rnacentral:tRNA from 1 species
GGCUAUGGCUCAGCGGUAGAACAUCUGCUUGGCAUGCAGAAAGUCACGGGUUCAAUUCCCAGCAUCUCCA